CGGCGCAACGCAUGCAGCCGUUGACGACCAUCUUGAACUUGACCUCGGUCGCGUGCACACGCGUUUCGAGAGCGUUCUUCCUAAAGUUAAAAUGAGCGCAUUUUUUAGGCUUGUUAAUAGUGUUUUUCAUCGUAAUCGCGUAGUUUUCCGCGAGUGCUUGCUCGGACAUUGGUGAAUUCACCGUCCAUUAUUUUGAUAUCUCGGUACGAUUGUCUAAAAAAAGAUCACUUUUUCUUUUCUCCUUCCUAUUGCAUCACCCCGGAGGAAGGAUCACGCACAUCUUCGUUGGAUUUUCACAUUUGUCGUUACAUCUAAAGAGAGAGAGAGAGAGAGCAUUGCAUCUAAAGUCAUUACAUCUAAGAGAAGAGCUGUUAUAAUACUAUUUCCAGUUUGUCAUUACAUCUAGAGAGAGAGAGAGAGAGCAUUACAUCUAAGAGAGCAUUGCAUCUAAGUCAUUACAUCUAAGAGCUGUUAUAUAAUACCAUUUUUAUGAAAGGCAAAUUUACUAGAGCUACAUUGCGUUUUUUAAUGUCGAAUGAGCUGGCUGUGCAGUAUUCCUGGUCUGGUCAAAGAAGAACUAUUCAAUUUAAAAGUACCCUAAUUUCUCAACUUAUUGUCGAAACCGUUUCAAAAGUGAAAAAUGCAUCUAGAAGCGACAUAGAAAUAUUUAUAAAGAAGUGGCUGCAGCACGCUAGCGACCGAAUAAAAAAUAAGAAAUAAAUUUUCAUAAUUCCAUAAUAUAUACAUAUCUACUUUAGGCCUGAUUGAACCAACGUUAUUUUUAAGCGUUAUUUUAAGCUUUAAACGAGACUUUAAUGUAUUUUUAUUUAGAAAGAAAGAGGAAGAUUGAUACAUUAUAUAUAUUUAAUAUUAUAUAUUUAAGUCUCUUGUACGUAUGUAUGUGAACGUAUGAGAUACGAAUAUAUUUGGUGUAUAAUUUACGUCACCGCGCGAAAGCGAUUAAUAUAAUAUAUACAGACGA